rnacentral:rRNA from 1 species
GCUUGACUAGCUGAGAGGAGGUGCAUGGCCGUCGUCAGUUCGUACUGUGAAGCAUCCUGUUAAGUCAGGCAACGAGCGAGACCCACGCCAACAGUUGCCAGCAUGUCCUCCGGGAUGGUGGGGACACUGUUGGGACCGCCUCUGCUAAAGAGGAGGAAGGAAUGGGCAACGGUAGGUCAGCAUGCCCCGAAUUAUCCGGGCUACACGCGGGCUACAAUGGUCAGGACAAUGGGCAUCAACACCGAAAGGUGAAGGCAAUCUCUUAAACCUGUCCUUAGUUCGGAUUGUGGGCUGCAACUCGCCCACAUGAAGCUGGAAUCUGUAGUAAUCGCGUCUCAAAAUGGCGCGGUGAAUAUGUCCCUGCUCCUU